GACGAACCGUGCGGACGUUGUUCGGAAUCACUGGGCUUAAAGGGCGCGUAGGCGGACUGUCAAGUCUGGGGUGAAAUCCCGCGGCUCAACCGUGGAACUGCCUCAGAUACUGACGGUCUCGAGGGAGGUAGGGGCAUGCGGAACUGUAGGUGGAGCGGUGAAAUGCGUUGAUAUCUACAGGAACUCCGGUGGCGAAAGCGGCGUGCUGGACCUCUUCUGACGCUGAGGCGCGAAAGCUAGGGGAGCAAACGGG
rnacentral:rRNA from 1 species